GAUUAAGUUAUUAAGGGCGCACGGUGGAUGCCUUGGCACUAGAAGCCGAUGAAGGACGUUACUAACGACGAUAUGCUUUGGGUAGCUGUAAGUAAGCGUUGAUCCAGAGAUUUCCGAAUGGGGGAACCCAGCAUGAGUUAUGUCAUGUUAUCGACAUGUGAAUUCAUAGCAUGUCAGAAGGCAGACCCGGAGAACUGAAACAUCUUAGUACCCGGAGGAAGAGAAAGAAAAAUCGAUUCCCUGAGUAGCGGCGAGCGAAACGGGAAGAGCCCAAACCAACAAGCUUGCUUGUUGGGGUUGUAGGACACUCUAUACGGAGUUACAAAAGAACAUGUUAGACGAAUCAUCUGGAAAGAUGAAUCAAAGAAGGUAAUAAUCCUGUAGUCGAAAACAUAUUCUCUCUUGAGUGGAUCCUGAGUACGACGGAGCACGUGAAAUUCCGUCGGAAUCUGGGAGGACCAUCUCCUAAGGCUAAAUACUCUCUAGUGACCGAUAGUGAACCAGUACCGUGAGGGAAAGGUGAAAAGUACCCCGGAAGGGGAGUGAAAGAGAACUUGAAACCGUGUGCUUACAAGUAGUCAGAGCCCGUUAAUGGGUGAUGGCGUGCCUUUUGUAGAAUGAACCGGCGAGUUACGAUCUGAUGCAAGGUUAAGCAGCAAAUGUGGAGCCGCAGCGAAAGCGAGUCUGAAUAGGGCGUUGAGUAUUUGGUCGUAGACCCGAAACCAGGUGAUCUACCCUUGGUCAGGUUGAAGUUCAGGUAACACUGAAUGGAGGACCGAACCGACUUACGUUGAAAAGUGAGCGGAUGAACUGAGGGUAGCGGAGAAAUUCCAAUCGAACUUGGAGAUAGCUGGUUCUCUCCGAAAUAGCUUUAGGGCUAGCCUCAAGUGAUGAUUAUUGGAGGUAGAGCACUGUUUGGACGAGGGGCCCCUCUCGGGUUACCGAAUUCAGACAAACUCCGAAUGCCAAUUAAUUUAACUUGGGAGUCAGAACAUGGGUGAUAAGGUCCGUGUUCGAAAGGGAAACAGCCCAGACCACCAGCUAAGGUCCCAAAAUAUAUGUUAAGUGGAAAAGGAUGUGGCGUUGCCCAGACAACUAGGAUGUUGGCUUAGAAGCAGCCAUCAUUUAAAGAGUGCGUAAUAGCUCACUAGUCGAGUGACACUGCGCCGAAAAUGUACCGGGGCUAAACAUAUUACCGAAGCUGUGGAUUGUCCUUUGGACAAUGGUAGGAGAGCGUUCUAAGGGCGUCG
rnacentral:rRNA from 1 species